AUGGUGAAGGUCGGUGUGAACAUAUUCGGCUGUAUUGGGCUCCUGGUUAUCAGGGAUGCAUUCAGCUCUGUACUUGGCAAAGCAGAGAUUGUUGACAUCAAUGACCCCUUCAUUGACCUCAACUACAUGGUCUACAUGUUCCAGUAUGACUCUACCCAUGGUAAGUUCCAUAGCACAGUCAAGGCCGAGAAUGGGAAGCUUGUAAUCAAUGGGAAGCCCAUCACCAUCUUCCAGGAGUGAGAUCCUGCUAACAUCAAAUGGGGUGAGGCUGGUGCUGAGUAUGUUGUGGAGUCUCCAUGUGGUGUCUUCACCCCCAUGGAGAAGGCCAGGGGGGCCACUUGAAGGGUGGGGUCAAAAGGGUCAUCAUCUCUGCCCCUUCUGCUGAUGCUCCCAUGUUUGUGAUGGGUAUGAACCACAAGAAAUAUGACAACUCACUCAAGUUUGUCAGCAAUGCAUCCUGCACCACCAACUGCUUAACCCCCACUUCUGGCCAAUGUCAUCCAUGACAACUUUGGCAUCAUGGAAGGGCUCAUGACCAUGGUCCAUGCCAUUACUGCCACUCAGAAGACUGUAGAAGGCCCCUCUGGAAAGCUGUGGUGUGAUGGCCAUAGGGCUGCCCAGAACAUCAUCCCUGCAUCCAUUGGUGCUGCCAAGGCUUCGGGCAAGGUCAUCCCAGAGCUGAAUGGGAAGCUCACUGGCCUGGCCUUCUGUGUUCCUAUCACCAAUGAAUCCAUUGACAUGCCACCUAUGCCAAGUAUGGUGAGAUCAAGAAAAUGGUGAAGUAGGCAUUGGAGGGCCCACUAAAGGACAUCCUGGGUUACACUGAGGACCAGAUUGUCUCCUGUGACUUCAACGGCAACUCCCACUCUUCCAUCUUUGAUGCUGAGGCUGGCAUUGCUUUCACAAACAACUCUAUAAAGCUCAUUUCCUGGUAUGACAAUGAACACAGCUACAGCAACAGGUUCCUGGACCUCAUGGCCUACAUGGCCUCUAAGGAGCAAGA
rnacentral:lncRNA from 1 species